GCCCCUAUAGUUCAGUGGUAAAGCGUCAGCCUUAUUUACUGAAGUUCUGUAGUUCGAUCCUGCUUGUGGCA
rnacentral:tRNA from 1 species